rnacentral:rRNA from 1 species
AUUGAACGCUGGCGGCAGGCCUAACACAUGCAAGUCGAACGAGUGGCGGACGGGUGAGUAAUGUCUGGGAAUCUGCCUGAUGGAGGGGGCUUACUACUGGGAACUGUAGCUAAUACCGCAUACCCUAGGAUGUUCCCCGAUGGGAUUAGCUAGUAGGUCGGGUAAAAGCUCACCUAGGCGACGGUCCCUAGCUGGUGUGAGAGGAUGACCAGCCCGACUGGAACGGAGACACGGCCGAGACUGCUACGGGAGGCAGCAGUGGGGAAUAUUGCACAAUGGGCGCAAGACUGAUGGAGCAAUGCCGCGUGUAUGAAGAAGGCCUGCGGGUUGUAAAGUACUUGCAGCGGGGAGGCGUUACCCGCAGAAGAAGCACCGGCUAACUCCGUGCCAGCAGCCGCGGUAAUUC